CAGCAGAGUGAAUCAGUGGAAAGCCCUAGACGCACACAAACUCAUCGCAACGGCGCUUGUUAAUCAAAUCCCUAACAUCUCCGGCGAACGACAAUCUGGCAAAGACGUUCGCAUCUAAAACGUGAAUGAACGAUUCCAGUUGUAGCAUACCAUCGCAAACAUCGUCAAAACCUCGUUAGUUCCCGUCGGUCUUGACAAGAUCCUUGUUGAUGACAUCAGUAAUACUAUCACUAACCACUACAAGAAAAAAUGGGAUCUACGACACAUGAAUUGUGACACUUCCUUCAAAACUAUCCUAAUUUCAUAUCUAGGUAGGUUUCCAC